GCUUGACUGGUAUCCUGGAAUUGGGUUUCGCGUUUUUCUUGGCGGCAGUCUAGGUGGGAGGCUAUGAAGAUUUCCUUCCGGGGAAAUUAGAGCCAUCAGUGAGAGACCACUCUGGAAGAACGUAAAAUUCUAAUGGCGUUCCUUGAAUCAGGACGCUUGACAUUUUCAGGUGGGCAGUUUUUCUGGGGCGGAAGCCUCAUAAAGCGUAACUGAGGCGUCGCAAAGGUUCCCUCAGCUUGCUGGAUGGAAAUCAAGACAUUAGACGAGUGUAAAGGGCAGAAGGGAGCUUGAUUGCAAGACACAACAACGUCGCAGCAGGGGCGAAAGCCGGCCUUAGUGACUCCGACGGCUGCCGAGUGGUAAGGGCCGUCG
rnacentral:rRNA from 1 species